AUUGAACGCUAGCGGCAGGCCUAACACAUGCAAGUCGAACGAGUGGCGGACGGGUGAGUAAUGUCUGGGAAACUGCCUGAUGGCGGGGGAUAACUACUGGAAACGGUAGCUAAUACCGCAUAACUUCGGAAGUGCCCAGAGGUGAUUAGCUAGGAGGUGGGGUAGAGGCUCACCUAGGCAACGAUCCCUCGCUGGUUUGAGAGGAAGACCAGCCACCCUGGAACUGAGACACGGUCCAGACUCCUACGGGAGGCAGCAGUGGGGAAUAUUGCACAAUGGGCGCAAGCCUGAUGCAGCCAUGCCGCGUGUAUGAAGAAGGCCUUCGGGUUGUAAAGUACUUUCAGCGGGGAGUCGUUACCCGCAGAAGAAGCACCGGCUAACUCCGUGCCAGCAGCCGCGGUAAUAC
rnacentral:rRNA from 1 species